GCGCGCGUAGCCCAAACGGCAGAGGCGGCGGGCUUAAAACCCGCCCGGUGAGAGUUCGAAUCUCUCCGCGCGCA
rnacentral:tRNA from 1 species